rfam:Triticum aestivum genome assembly, contig: Triticum_aestivum_CS42_TGACv1_scaffold_223820_3B
CGUAUACUCCUUCCGUCCGGAAAUACUUGUCAUUGAAAUGAAUGCAUCUAGAUGUAUUUUAAUUGUAGAUACAUCCAUUUUCAUCCAUUUUGAUGACAAGUAUUUCCGGACGGAGGGAGUACAUA